GGAGGGACAGAAGUCCUUGAAGAAUACAGAGGAACAGGGACGCUGUGUGACAGCAGGAGGAGGCAGAUGAACUUUCUUACAGCAAGCAUGGCUGAAUCUGAAGGGAACAUUCUAUAACAGAAAAGUAGCUCUGGCUUUCUGGCAUGGCGGCUAAAAACCUUUCAAAGGAAGACAAAACAUGGGUCCAAAGAACCAACAUCUCAGACAGGAGGAGGUGGCCCAAGACAAGAGAGGGGGCAGCGUCUGGUUGGUGGUCAACUUGAUGAAGAUUGUUGUAGGGAAAACAUAAACCUGAUGAACCACAGCAUCAAGAGAGAAAUCAUCCUGCAGAAGAUGAAGGAGACCUUUGAAUUUAGACAGUAGAUUAUCCACAUGCUGAAGAGUCCCACACUGUACUCACAGUAUUUCCAAGGCUGCUGGACACUAAAGGACUGAACUGGCGGAUAAACUGCUUAAAAAGUCGCCCUUAUCCUAAAAUGGAAGAUCACAAGAGAAGAAGAGAGCCUUGCUUCCCAGUUCUCCAGAGUUUGCUGAAGUCGGCCAGGAGUGCUUAUCAUGAUGAAUCACCAGAGGAAGGUCCAGGUAUGAGCUCAUAGUCUAAUAAGCCAUGGAGGUGGUUAGAUUGCUUUGAAAUGCACUUUUCAGUAGAAAGAUAUGUUUUUCCUAUCUUACAGAGUGGGACAGUGAUAUGGCAUCUUUCCUGCUGCUCGUGCAUAUGCUUCCACCACAGCCGACUAAAAAGAAAACGCACUGCAUAUUUAAGAGGGAAAUGCAGCAUAGACUCAAGACAAUAAGUAGCAGAGGUGGGGACUCGAGUCACAUGACUUGACUCGAGUUGGACUCGAGUCGCAUAUUUUUGGACUUGAGACUUGCUUGACUAACAUUGAUAAAAGACUUGACUUGACUUUGACUUGGUAUUCAUGACUUGAGACUUGACUUAAGCUUGAGACAGAUGACUUGAAAGGACUUGACUUUUUAAAAUUAAAUAUUUGCGUUUGUUUUUGUAGUGAGAUAUUACGUUUAGUUUUUCUAAAUGUGAUUGGGUGAUUAUAGCGACAUGUGCGCAAACCUGGCAACCCAAUAGACGGCAGGAGUGUCAGUUAACAUGGCAGCGGUUAGCUUUACUCCAAAAAUAGUCAAGUUUGGAUUCAAGGAUUAUUUUGUCGA